rnacentral:rRNA from 1 species
CAGCCGGCGGUAAGACGAACCGUGCGAACGUUAUUCGGAAUCACUGGGCUUAAAGCGCGUGUAGGUGGGUGGGUACGUCCGUCGUUGAAAGCCCCCGGCUCAACCGGGGAACUGGCGCGGAUACGGCCUACCUGGAGGGACGUAGGGGGACCUGGAACUUCCGGUGGAGCGGUGAAAUGCGUUGAGAUCGGAAGGAACGCCCGUGGCGAAAGCGAGGUCCUGGACGUUUUCUGACACUGAGACGCGAAAGCCAGGGGAGCGAACGGGAUUAGAUACCCGCGUAGUCCCUGUCUCUUAUACA